UCGGAGAUGGGAGCGCCUAGGGACCCGAACCGAGUGCACCUGCUGCAGCCUGGCACUAGGGAUUUGAACAUCCAUGGAGAUGGAAACCUAUGCCGAGGUUAGAAGACCUGGAUCCACUUUGCAGGAUUUUAAAUAUCCUUCAAGCCUCAGUGCCUGGCAGACUGGACUUUGGACUUCGGACUUCCAGCUCCGAUGCUGAAAAAGGAGGGUUUUUUUGUUUGUUUGUUUUUCCACUUUGCUUCCUUGCUUGUCGAGGCUGAGAACAUACGGUGUUUUUGAGGGCCACCAUCUACGGGUACUCGCUUCUCCAAACCUUGGAACCCGAGGUCUAGCCUUGGAAAGAGUUGCCGCCUUACCGUCUCUCCUCGCCUAGAGAAGCCCCAGCUGUGUGCGCUACUUCAGGGUCACAGUGCCGCGGUGCCGAGCUUCUUUCGUGGUCCCUGUCGCCGUCAGUUUCUUGAGAUUUCAGACUCUGGGCUUGGAAACCAGUUGACUGCCUUUCUUAGCGAGGUGCCCUCGGAAACCUGUGGAGGAAUGUUUGGAUUAUGAAUGCUCACCGUGCCGAGUCCUCGAAGCUAUGUGACAGAGGUGGAGCACCUGGAAUGCAUAGAGAACCAGGUUCCCUUUGGAAAAUAUUCACUCGCUUCCACCAGCCCAAACCCGAAGGUACCAUCAGUACGUGAGGCCUACAACAGGGUUCUCUGUUUUCCUGUAGCCAGCCUCUCUGAUGCUCCCAACAAUGUAUUUGAAAAGCA
ensembl:lincRNA 2810030D12Rik RIKEN cDNA 2810030D12 gene